GCAGUGCCUCAGAUAUCAGGCGGGACUCGGGCCAGCUGGAGCCAGAGCUGGAGACUUCGCGGGACAGAUUACACCAGCCCUAGGCUGAGAAGAAACUGAACUGAACUGUCCUUUGGAUACUGCCAGACGACACCCGCGGGAGCCGCGGCCCAGAGACCCGCCCGGGCGACAGCGACUGGAGCGGAGCCCACAGGCCCGGGCCGGCUAGGCGGCGCGAGCAGGAAGCGGGGUCCCUGGGCCCCUUUGUGUGAAGGGCGAAGGAGGGGUGCGGGGC
ensembl:lncRNA